AUGGUGCUCGGUUACCCCUCUGAGGACGCACAGUCCAUUGCCGACCGGCUUAACUGUCGGCUGGGUUCUUUCCCCACGACCUAUCUGGGGAUCCCCAUUAGUGACUCGCGCCUCACCGUGGCGGACCUCCGCCCCACGGUGACCUGUAUGCAACAUCGCGUAGAGCCCUGGAAAGGGCGUUGGCUAUCGAAGGCGGCGCGCGUGAUCCUUAUCAACUCAUCGCUAGCCAGCCUCCUGUGGUUCCUUAUGAGCUUCUAUAGCCUUCAUGAAAUGCUCCAUCAGGAGGUCGCCAAAUACCAGUCCAUAUUCUUCUGGGCUGGGGAGGAGGGCAAGCAGAAAUACCACAUGGUCAGCUGGCCAGACAUCUGCAACCCAAAGACCAGGGCGGUCUUGGGAUUCUGUCCUCUCGGCGCAUGA
rnacentral:rRNA from 1 species